rnacentral:rRNA from 1 species
UACGGAGGGUGCAAGCGUUGUCCGGAUUUAUUGGGUUUAAAGGGUGCGCAGGUGGGUAUUUAAGUCUGGUUUGAAAGCAGGUGGCUCAACCAUCUGAUGUGGCUGGAAACUGGAUAUCUUGAAUGGGUUGGCGGUAGCCGGAAUGGGUCAUGUAGCGGUGAAAUGCAUAGAUAUGACCCGGAACACCGAUUGCGAAGGCAGGCUACUACGACUUGAUUGACACUGAGGCAC